rnacentral:rRNA from 1 species
GGUGGAGUAUGUGGUUUAAUUCGACGCAACGCGCAGAACCUUACCUAGGCUUGACAUCCCGGGAAUUUGCUGGAAACAGUGAAGUGCUUUCAUUAGAAAGAGCCCGGUGACAGGUGCUGCAUGGCUGUCGUCAGCUCGUGUCGUGAGAUGUUGGGUUAAGUCCCGCAACGAGCGCAACCCUCGCCUUUAGUUGCCAGCAUUCAGUUGGGCACUCUAAAGGGACUGCCGGUGUCAAACCGGAGGAAGGUGGGAUGACGUCAAGUCCUCAUGGCCUUUAUGUCUAGGGCUACACACGUACUACAAUGGCAGGUACAAAGGGCAGCGACACAGCGAUGUGAUGCGAAUCCCGAAAAGCCUGUCUCAGUCCGGAUCGGAGUCUGCAACUCGACUCCGUGAAGUUGGAAUCGCUAGUAAUCGUGGAUCAGCAUGCCACGGUGAAUACGUUCCCGGGCCUU